rnacentral:rRNA from 1 species
GUGGGGAAUAUUGCGCAAUGGGCGAAAGCCUGACGCAGCGACGCCGCGUGAGGGAUGAAGGUCUUCGGAUCGUAAACCUCUGUCAGGAGGGAAGAAGUGGUUAUAUGCGAAUAGUGUAUGACUUUGACGGUACCUCCAAAGGAAGCACCGGCUAACUCCGUGCCAGCAGCCGCGGUAAUACGGAGGGUGCGAGCGUUAAUCGGAAUCACUGGGCGUAAAGCGCGCGUAGGCGGCUUUUCAAGUCAGGGGUGAAAUCCCACGGCCCAACCGUGGAACUGCCUUUGAAACUGUAGAGCUUGAGUGUCGGAGAGGGUGGCGGAAUUCCAGGUGUAGGAGUGAAAUCCGUAGAUAUCUGGAGGAACACCGGUGGCGAAGGCGGCCACCUGGACGACAACUGACGCUGAGGUGCGAAAGCGUGGGUAGCAAACAGGA